rnacentral:lncRNA from 11 species
UGAAAGAGUGAAGGAGUGAGCUGGCAAUCCUUCAACCUUGGAGCCCUUGGACUUACCUUGGGGAAAGAUAAAUAAGAACGGUAAUGAACGUCUUGAGAAACUGCCUGGAUGUUCUGGUGUUUUACAAUCCUUGUGGGAGGUUUCUCUCAUGUCCCCAUGAGAGACAUGAGCUGGAUCUGACAGAGG